rnacentral:lncRNA from 1 species
CCUUGGGCGUCGCCAUGUUCUUCCUCACGUGUUGCCGACCGGCGCCGAGGAAGAGGACAUUACGUUCAAAUCGCUCCCAUCGUGAGGCUCGAGGAGGUUGCCAUCACCACCGACAAAGAGGACGAGGACCUCCUCCUCGAUAUGUAAGUCGUCUUUACUUCUGUUGAUCUGACCUGAUCGGACCCUCCUCAUCAGUAUCUUUAUAUUUUCAUGCAUGGGCCAUAAUAAAACAAAGAGCAUAUUGGCGUAUCACACUGUCUUAUGACUAUAGCAGAAAAAUGCGUCCACAAAAUUUUAAAAGCUUGGUUUGAUAACCAAACAGGGAAAUAGUUCAUCUUUUGAUCAUUUCAUGAAACAAAGAGUACUUUAAUAAGCCGCAAGGUACUAAUUGGUUUCCUAUGUAGAGAUGUAUGAAGAUGGGGCUUCUAAAUUUCAGUAGUGCUGUCAUUAUCUCAGAUCCCAUGAUGUUGGUUGCUGUUAUUCUACAUACCCUUUUAUGGUGCCUGAGGGACACAACUAUAGUGGCUCGUGACUGUCAAAGCCGGCAAUAUCGAUAGGCUUGUACAGAUUAUUCCAAAAGAGAUAUUGAUUGCUAUGGGAUGUACAUUCAAAAGAGAAUGCAUUUGUUCAACGGGGUGAGUUAUGUCCCAUGUUUACUCAUACACACAACCUGUCUUGAAUUCCAUGGCGGCAAUACAUUAUUUGAUGUUAUCUCUGCUUAUUAUUAUUCUGAUUGCCGUAUUGGUUCUGGA